AGUGAACGCUGGCGGUAGGCCUAACACAUGCAAGUCGAGCGGCAGAACUGUACUUGCUUCUUCUUUCGGCGGGCGAUUGGUGGAUAAUGGCUAUAAACCUGUCAGUCAGUUUUUUCUAGGGGUCUUAAGCGGGUGCUCUUACCGCAUAAGCCCUUACGACUUACGUGUGUAAUCUUCGGAUCUUCCGCUCUCACACGAUUUUAUGUCGGAUUAGCUAGUUGGCGGGGUAAAGGCCCACCAAGGCGACGAUCCGUAACUGGUCUGAGAGGAUGAUCAGUCACACUGGAACUGAGACACGGUCCAGACUCCUACGGGAGGCAGCAGUGGGGAAUAUUGGACAAUGGGCGCAAGCCUGAUCCAGCCAUGCCGCGUGGGUGAAGAAGGUCUUCGGAUUGUAAAGCCCUUUUAUUGGGGAGGAAAAGCAGUAGGUUAAUACCUUGCUGUUCUGACGGUACCAAAAGAAUAAGCACCGGCUAACUUCGUG
rnacentral:rRNA from 1 species